rnacentral:lncRNA from 1 species
UGGCCAGGCUUAGAUCACAAAAUGGCUUAGGCCAAAAAAUGGCUUCUCUUAUGUCAAGAAAGUCAUUCUUGGUUUUUUUUCUCCAGGAAGCCCCUACCAUAUCUGCUUACAACACUUUUUCUGGAAAUCUGUCUGACCUCUUAGCAAGGUCAGUAUAGGCACUCAGACAUCCUCCUUGACUGAACACUUGUAGUUUCCUCAUGUGCUUGGAACACACUUAAAUUAUUUUGAGGUUGUUGCUUUUCCUGUUUACUCCCUCCCCUUCAUAGUAACCUACAGUCCUCUGGGAAGAUUCUCUUACCAGAUCUUUCUUUAUCUUUAUUUUGCUUUUAGUUGUUUACUGUUAAUCAUAAGCUGUAAAUGGACUCAGGAUGCUGCAGCUGCCGGGCACCACAGGGAUUAUAUAAUGCAAACUCAAACUCAGCAUUUCACAAGAAAGGCUCAGGGAGUUAAAAACAUACUAGUAGCCUUAAAGAGAGUAUUUUAGUAUUUUUUUCUAAGAUGGGUAAUUCAAGGACUUUUUAGAGUCUUAUUGAGCUAUAAUUUACACACCAUAAAUUCCAUGCGUUUAAAAUGUACAAUUGAUACAAAUGUACCUAUAUAAAUGUACAAUGAUGUCACCAUGGAAAGUUUAGAACAUCUUUCUGGAAAAGGAGUGUUUUGUAAAUUUGAAACUAUUUGUACAUAUAAUCCAACAUGGGAUGUUACCAGGAGAGCCCCAAACAGAAAAAACAGCAUGUGAAAAAUACGAAAGCCCCCAAGCUUACCUGUUUGUAAAAGUGCUCAUUCUUCUGCCUGGUGGAAGCAGCACUGGCAGAGGAGGCUGGAGAGGUAGUGAGGUAAGCAGGGUCUUGGAAACCUUACAUGUAGCGGGUGGGAAGCAACCAGGGCAUGUUAUUCAGAACAGUUCUUCUCUCAGAAUAUUUCAGUGGAAGUUUAGGUUUGACCUGCCUGUCAUGUCUUUGCCCUUUUGUGGUCUCCAGGCCUCGGUGAUGAUAACAGAUGAACAAGAAGAAUGCUGCAUGAAGGAAGGUGACCUCCUUUGUGAUACAGGGGAGACCUCAGCAGCAGAGUGGGCCAGAAGAGAGGCAGCUGAGAGGGGAAAGGAGCCUCUUGAGCAAAAGGUUAAGUUGCUGCAGCAAAAGCUGGAUAAGGAAGAAAUAGCCUUUGAGGAAUUCAGAGUCAAAAUGACAGAGGAGAUACGAGAGUGUGAUGAUCUUCUGAGAAAGGUGGACCAGAGUAUUAAGGAGCUGGAGGCCUCAGUGAUGAUAACAGAUGAACAAGAAGAAUGCUGCAUGAAGAAAAGUGAGCUCCUUUGUGAUGCAGGGAAGACCUCAGCAGAAGAGUGGACCAGAAGAGUGGCAGCUGAGAAGGUUAUGGAGUGUCUUGAACAAAAGUACACAGAGUUCUGGCAAAAGUUGGAGGACCAAGAAAGAGUCCAUGAAGGACUUAUAGCCAUUAUGACACAGGAGAUAAUAGAAAGAGAAAAGUCCUCAGCAGCAGAGUGGGCCAGAAGAGAGGCAGCUGAGAGGGGAAAGGAGGCUCUUGAGGAAAAGAUUAAAGAGCUGCAGCAAAUGUUGGAGGACCAAGAAAGAGUCUCCGAGGGAUUUAGAGCCCAAGUGCCAGAGGAGAUGAAAGAAAGAGAAAAGACCUCGGCAGAAGAUCUGGACAAAAAAGAAGUUGAGAGGGAAAUGGAAUUGCUUAAACAAAAGAUUAAAGAGCUGCAGCAAAUGUUGGAGGACCAAGAAAGAGUCUCCGAGGGAUUUAGACCCCAAAUACCAGAGGAGAUGAAAGAAAGAGAAAAGACCUCGGCAGAAGAGCCAAACAAAAGAGAAGAAGCUGAGAGGGAAGAGGAGUCUCUUGAGCAAAAUGUUAAAGGGCUGCAGCAGAAGUUGGAGGACCGACAAACAGACGUCAAUGGAUUAAAAGCCCAAGUGACAGAGGGGAUCAGCAAAAGGGAAAAGACCUCAACCUCCCUGGCACAGCAGAGUGGGACCUAA